rnacentral:misc_RNA from 1 species
AAGAUAUUUAAAAAAACUAAUAUCCAUUAUGCAAUCUGGUAUGCUUCGCUAUAUCAUUGUGUUGUCACAUUUGAUUGGAGUGAAACAUCUUGGAAUUUAAUAUCAAUGGGUUGAGCUUUCCCCUUCCUAUCCUAUGUGGCUUUCUUAAAUGCAAAUUUUCAUUUGAGAUGGUGUGUUGUUUGACAUGGAUGUCAUAUAUAUAUAUAUAACCAGUGACUUACUAAUGCUAUAGUAUUACCGUGGAUAGGAGUAGUAGCAUAAAAAAAUGUGAACAUGAUUUUGGUUUACGAAAUUUCACUUGCUACGAUUGAUUCUGCGGUGCCAUAUGCAGAACCAAUGAACUGUAAAUGCUUGUAUUUUCAAUUUGGAAAAUUUUAUAGCUAUUCACCAAGUUCUUCCGCUUGCUUCUCUUGUAUAUGACACAAAAGUAAAGUCGCAUUUUGUUUUUGGGUAAUGACAGG